AUCCCGUCAUGCCGUGCGCGCCGCCAUGUUGGUUGUAUUCGCGUCCCUAGCAACAAUAUAGCGUCAUUAGCAGCACACUCGCUCUGCAAUUGUCGGCGUCUAUCUGCUCCUAUUUGUCAUCUCGCAAUCGUCUGUAAUGGAUAACUACGCUAAUUUAUUGGACAAAGUAUCUCGUAUAAGAUAUCACGAGAAGACUGGUGUGAUCGACAAAGAAGAUCCGUACAGGAUUCCGAAAUCGAAAUGGAGUGACGACCACAAGCAUUUGCCGGCAACUAACUACAUCGACAUCGUCAACUAUCUGGUAUUCAGUCCCAGUCCUUUUUGUAGUUUAUCAGACAUCAGAAACUACAGGAGCUUGGAAGCAUAUGAUAGAUUUGUAUGUGGUUGGGUACGAGACAUUGUCUCGUAUGUGCAUUUGUCCGUCGAAGAUGGAAAGGCCAUUCACGUUGUGAAGUCAAAAGUAAUGCAUUCCCAGCGCUUGAAUGAAGCUCCAUUGCACCCCUGGUUCAUCACUGAUGACACGGGCAAAGUUUUGUCAGCCCACUGCAAUUGUAUGGCAGGUUUGGGAGAAUCGUGCACACAUGUAGCAAGUGUGAUGUUUGCUGUUGAAGCUAUUGUUAGACUAAGGGAAAGUACCACCGUAACACAGGAACCAGCCUACUGGAAACUUCCAGCUUUGAUGAAAAAGGUUGAAUAUGCAUCUUUAAGAGACAUUGAUUUUACCUCUUCAAAGACAUUGAAGAAGAAACUUGACUUAUUAAUUGAUGAUUCAUCUGCUACAUGUUCAAGUUCAUCGAGUGCUAAACUUACCCAUAAGUUAGGACCUGCAUCUACACAGAAUUUUGACACCUUUCUUCAUACUAUUAAUGCAGACAGACCAUCUUGUCUAGCAGUUCAUAGUGAUUAUAGUGAUCAAUAUGUACCUGUACCACUACAACCACAAUUUCCACAAGUGAUUCCUGAGCUGUUUGAUGAAAGUCUGGUUGGCAUCCCAUAUGAUGAAGUUUUAGAACACUGUCAGAAUGUUUUAGAUCAGCUGAGCAUCACAGAAGAGGAGGUUACAGCAGUUGAAGCAGCAACAAAGAACCAAGCAGGUUCCCCACUUUGGUUUCAGUUCAGGGCUGGACGUAUAACGGCAUCAAAGAUGAAGAGCGCAAGUCGUACAUCAUUGUUGGACACUUCUAGGAGUUUACUUCGCCAUAUCUGUUACCCGACUGAGGUCAAGUUUUCUAAUCCAGCUACAAGAUGGGGAUGCAGCCAUGAGGUAACAGCAAGGGAUGCCUAUGAGAAAUUAUCUUGUGAGCAUCACCAUAACUUCAGUGUUGAGGAAUGUGGUUUAUUCCUUAGCUGUGAGUAUCCACAUCUUGGUGCGACUCCUGAUGGUAUUGUUGACUGUAGCUGUUGUGGAAGGGGCUGCCUUGAGAUUAAAUGUCCUUACUGUGCAAAGGAUGACUUAAUUGAUAACAAUAUAGUAUACUUAGAGGAAGUUAAUGGGUCACUGCAACUGAAAAGGGACAGUCAGUACUAUUACCAGGUGCAAACACAACUAUUUGUAACAAAUCAUGAUUAUUGUGACUUUGUUGUUUGGACAAAUGAUGAUAUUUUUAUGGAGAGAAUCACACCUUGUGUGGCCUUCUGGUAACCAGUAGCUGAUCAGGCGAUGCAGUUCUUCACAUCUGUUAUUCUACCAGAGAUUGUUGCACGACACUUCUUGAACGGAGGUGACCAGUUAACACACCCAUAUGCAUUCUUUGGAGAAUUCUCAGUUGAACUUCCUUCACAUUGAUCCGUGUCUGAACCUGACGAGUUCCUUUUACUGGUCUGCUGUUUAAAUUGUCAUUUCGGUUGACAAACUGCAUCCCAAGUGAGUCAUACCCUGUCCCAACAACAACAUUCUUCAUCUUAUCUCGGAGGCUUUUAGGAUACAUGUACACAACACUCUCAUCAAUGGCACCAAACUGUUUCUUUGUUGGACGGUGGAUAACUUCAGCGACUUGAUCCACAACAUCUCUGACAACGCGCAGUCUAAUACGUCCCGUUAAACGCUGAGUGUUCCUUAAACAUGCUGAAAUAUCCCUGGGUAGACGUUCCCAUUGUAUAUGAAAUUUAGUUUGGAGCUCUAUUUCCGACUUCAAUAAGGAUCGGACUUGGGGAUGGUGAUGAGCCAGUUGAGGAUGAUGCACUACUUGGUGGACUGAGUGCUGUAACUAAUUGUAAGACUUACAAACGUGGAACGGGAUGAAAUUGCUUGACAUCUUGAUGGUGAUUGUGACAAUAUGUUUAGACUUUUGUGAACUGAAAAUGUUGAUGAGCUACAGAAACUUGUUCCUGGAAGUUGUGGUGUAUCUUGACUUGUAUUGAUUGAGGGGACAUUUGAUCUAUCGAAUUCGGUGCACAAAAUACUGCAAAUAAAACAGACAAAUAAUAAAUAAUAAAUAAAUCUAAUGGUUAAAGGACAUUGUAAGUACAGGUACCGACUGUGCACAAUAGAACCAACUGCAUAUGGUCAAUACUGGAUCUUAGGUACAGUUCAAAAUUGGCGAGAGUGAAAUACAGACCAAGAAGUUUAUGUUUCCUUUUGUCUGAACCAAGUGGGUUGACAACCUCACUAUCAAGAACAAAGCCACACAAAAUGACAUUACACCGCUGAAAUGCAGGGAUAUGAAUUGCUUUGGGUUUUGACUGUUUUGUGAUUUGUAAUUAUGUGCUAAUGAAGACAAAAUGAGGGAACAAGCAAAUCAUUUUCAUAUCCCUACAUUAUUUGUUUGAACAUUUAAGUCGGUACCUGUAGGGCAGAUGCAACCGAUCUUUUUUAUUCUUUCAAACUUCGACGCCGCGAGUGCGUGCGUGCGUGUGUGUGUGUGCUAUCCGAAAAAUAAAUGUCAAAAUUAAAAUAUUGGCGUCCGCGUUCCAGAUAAACGUUUUAUGGUACCCAGAGAAGGCUCGACAUCCAGCGUACCAAAGGGGGGUUGGCUCUUUCAUCAAUGAUAUUUGGAUCAAUCCUAGAUUCCCCUGGAAUAUAUUGGGGAUGUUAUUCCACAAUUCCAGCCACAGGAUCAUCGAAAUUAAGCACAAUGGACCUAUGCAACCAAGUCUUCAUAUAUAGUAUCAUAUGUGUCUUUCACAAUCAGAUUCUUCAAAUAUGCGAAUAAAAAAGGGCGCCGUAUUAAAGUGGCGGAUACCAAUGUCCGUCGACUGAACACUGACUAGAAAAUAGAGUAUUGUCCCCUAUAAGGGUGGUUUAAGUGAAUGUGUUUUUUUUUCUAUACUGAACCGCAAAAGAAAUGUCACCAUGGAUAGAUAUAUGAUAUAAAUCGGGACUGACGGUAGGCCACUGCAUAGUUUUGAUGCCAUUCUGCUGGAGAAAGUCUCUUGUUGCUUUCGCAGUGUGGGCAUGGGUGUUAUCAUGCUGAAACUUGUGGUUGCGGCGACGUGCCAAAUGAGGUAUGGCGUGUGGCCUCAAGACUUGAUCAAUGUACCGAGCUGCUGUGACACCAUUGCCUUCCCUGGACCAAUGUUCUGGUAGACCACAGCGCCGACCCUCUGUGCAAGACCAAUUCCACCCUACACCAUGAUCCACGGACCACCCCACUAGUCUCCCUCAACAACACAAGCAUCCGAAUAACGUUCCCCACAGCGUCGCCAGACUCUUUCUCUGCCCUAUUCUGUUGAGAUACAGUAACGGUUCUCGUCUGAGAAGAGGACUCUUCUCCACUGCUGGUGGCGCCAAUGCUGGUGCUGUGUUGCCCACUGAAGACGAUCCCGGCGAUGACGUGGUGUCAGAAUGGGUCCUCGGUGUGGCCUGUGUCUGCUCGUCAAUCGUCGAUGCACUGUGUCUGCACUAACGUGUCGCUGGUGUGUACCCAUGGUCUGUCGUGCAGUUUCCGCAGCAGUAACAAAGCGAUCUUGAAGAUGCUGUCGCACAAUCUGGGUGGUGAAUCUUGGUCUUCCACAACGUGGUCGGUCAUCUGUAGUGCUGGUGGUCUGGUACCAUUGCUGGGGCCUGUAUUUGGUCCUUACGUGGACUUGAAAUGCAUUGGCUACUUGCCGGGCGGUUUGUCCAGCUUGCAAUCGUCCAAGGGCUUGGUGUCGCUGAUUUCUUGUCAAUCUUGGCAUGUGGCAGCAAUUCAAUAACGAAUGAAUGUUCUCAGAUCUGGGUGGAUCUUUAUAGGACAAGAAAAGGGGGAACGCAUGGGCAUUUCAAUUUUCACGGAGCUCACGUGCAUCGGGUUACCACGGCCGCGUUUGGGCGAUCGGCUUUAUUGUUAUCUGCUUUGUUUUUUAAUCAUCAAAUUUCAUUUUCCGGACAAGGUUAGGUUAAAUUUUAGAAACUUUAAUAAAAAAUACCCAGAUAUUUAAAUGACAACUUUUUAUGCAAAAAGGCGUGACGUUUCUUUUGCGGUUCAGUAUAUUAAGUUGCAAUUGUGCAUAAUAAUACAAAUUUGGCUUUUUCAGUCAUUGUACCUAAUGUUGUAUGUAUUGUUGUCCUGUGCUACAACAUACUAUGUUUGGUUUUCAAUCUUUAUUUAUUGGGGCCUGUAGUACAGAUUACAUGGAUAGUGUAGUAGUAUUAAUAAAUCCUUUAUCAUACAUUUUCGAUAAUUGAUUGCAUGAAAUUCAUUUGAUGUCACACGCUUUUUAACACGUUAAUAUUUUCAGAAGACAUUAGUACUGUAAACUUAAAAAUGUUUGGUGGCUGGUACAUAUCUUGCGAUACAUAUUCAAUACGCAAAUGAUCAUGUACUGGACACACAAAGAAAUGAUGGUACUCAUCUUCUACUUCCUGCUUAUUGCACAAUUUGCAAACUCAAUAUGUUCUUUUAAUAUACUUGUGUAUCUCCCUUGUUCAAUGUUAAGAGUAUGCGAUGAGCAUAUUAUUCGAGAAAAGUAUAUUCUAUUUUAAGGCAAAAGAGGUUUCAAAAGAUAUUCUUCGGUUUUAAAUUGAAUUUUAAACAUCACAUAAUAUUUACAUUUUGGUGAUAAUAAUAGUACCGUUGCUGUAUAUACACAUCUGUUAGUCUUUCAGAGUAUUGUUCCUUCUGUCUUUGCCAUAAAAAGCCAAAACCAAAUUCAUUAAUAGUUUUCUUAACAGUAGAGACCCAAUGUACCGUUCCAGAACUCACCCGACAGGGACACGACAGGUGAGACAUAUCGCCAUUGACGCUGAGUACACACCUCACACGUUGUUUUCUGAUACACCGCUGCGUGUAUCAAUCAGUCGGUAUGGUCUUGCUUAUGUAGCAGGGUUCCUUUAUCAUAUUCUUCCUAGUUACAUCAUUAUUCAUACAUCAUCAUCUAUAUGUUCAAUGAUUGUCUUGUCUACAGUUGAAUGUCAGUACAUGUAUAUAACUCUUUAAACAACUCAACACCCUCAUUUUCAGUCUCUGGGAAUCUCUCAUCAGAUCUUCCCCUUCAACCUUCUGUCUAUCUUUAGACAUUUUUUCACACCUGUAGGGUUUCCCUCAGUCUAUUUAUAUCUUGCAUUAAGCACUUCCUUUGAUGCUUAAUGCAAUCUGUCUUCUGAUUGGCCACCCUGGUCCUCUACAGGUAGCUUCCUUCGAUACCUGACUUCCUCCUCACUUCGUGUGCUGCUGUUGAGGAGGAAGGAUAUUUUCUUUUCUUCAGGUAUGGAAUGGUCUUUUUUCAAUCUGUUUUCAUCUGCUUCUGUCAGAAAUUAAUAUCUAUAUUAGGGUGCUGAGUUAAAUUGAAUAACAUAUAUAAUAUCAUUUAAAGUAAUUUUAAAUUAGUAAAUGGAUAAUUAAUAGUAUAAAACUUGUUUGUAAAAUAAUUAACCACAUGGUCCAUUUUGGCCCAUGUGCAUUUCAAGUGUCCUAAAGUCUGAUAGUAGUAAUUAAACAUUAAAGUUUCAUAAUAGUUUUAAAAGGGCUUUUGUACUGAUAUAUUUAAGAUAAAUAAUACCUGUAAAUUUGCAAAUAUAUGACUUCAUGUGCUGCUGUUGAGGAGGAAGGAUAUUUUCUUUUCUUCAGAUAGUUCAACAGCAGCCACCCCCAUUGUAAUAAACACAUUAUCAUCAUC